AACGAACGCUGGCGGCAUGCCUAACACAUGCAAGUCGAACGAGACCUUCGGGUCUAGUGGCGCACGGGUGCGUAACGCGUGGGAACCUGCCCUUAGGUUCGGAAUAACUCCCCGAAAGGGGUGCUAAUACCGGAUAAUGUCUUCGGACCAAAGAUUUAUCGCCUUUGGAUGGGCCCGCGUUGGAUUAGCUAGUUGGUAGGGUAAUAGCCUACCAAGGCGACGAUCCAUAGCUGGUCUGAGAGGAUGAUCAGCCACACUGGGACUGAGACACGGCCCAGACUCCUACGGGAGGGAGCAGUGUGGAAUAGUGGACAAGGGGCGAAAGCCUGAUCCAGCAAUGCCGCGUGAGUGAUGAAGGCCUUAGGGUUGUAAAGCUCUUUUACCCGGGAUGAUAAUGACAGUACCGGGAGAAUAAGCACCGGCUAACUCCGUG
rnacentral:rRNA from 1 species